CUCGCUAUAGCUCAGUUGGUAGAGCGAUUGACUGUAGUGGAUAAAUUGUCAUCAAUUGGUCCCUGGUUCGAUUCCAGGUGGCGAGA
rfam:Monosiga brevicollis MX1 MONBRscaffold_21 genomic scaffold, whole genome shotgun sequence.